CCUACGGGAGGCAGCAGUGAGGAAUAUUGGUCAAUGGCCGGAAGGCUGAACCAGCCAUGCCGCGUGAAGGUCAGUGCCCUAUGGGCGUUAAACUUCUUUUGUGCGGGAGCAAUAAUGGUCACGUGUGGCCAGACGAGAGUACCGUACGAAUAAGCAUCGGCUAACUCCGUGCCAGCAGCCGCGGUAAUACGGGGGAUGCAAGCGUUAUCCGGAUUUAUUGGGUUUAAAGGGUGCGUAGGCUGUGAGGUAAGUCAGCGGGGAAAUGCCCACGCGCAACGGGGUGAAGUGCCAUUGAAACUGCGUUGCUGGAGUGCGGAGGCCGUGGGAGGAAUGUGUGGUGUAGCGGUGAAAUGCAUAGAUAUCACACAGAACACCGAUUGCGAAGGCAUCUCACGAAUCCGCGAUUGACGCUGAUGCACGAAAGCGUGGGUAUCAAACAGGAUUAGAUACCCUGGUAGUC
rnacentral:rRNA from 1 species